rnacentral:rRNA from 1 species
UACGGAGGGUGCGAGCGUUGUCCGGAAUCACUGGGCGUAAAGGGCGCGUAGGCGGCCAACUAAGUCGGAUGUGAAAUCCCCAGGCUUAACCUGGGAACUGCAUCCGAUACUGGAUGGCUUGAAUUCGGGAGAGGGAUGCAGAAUUCCAGGUGUAGCGGUGAAAUGCGUAGAUAUCUGGAGGAAUACCGGUGGCGAAGGCGGCAUCCUGGACCGACAUUGACGCUGAGUGAGCGAAAGCUAGGGGAGCAAACGGG